GAACAUUGGUGUUCACGAUGAACAUAGGCAUG
rnacentral:piRNA from 1 species